rnacentral:rRNA from 1 species
UCCUGGCCGUAAACGAUGGGCACUAGGUAGGGGGAAUUCCUAUGGUUCUCUCUGCCGGAGCUAAUGUGUUAAGUGCCCCGCCUGGGGAGUACGCUCGCAAGGGUAAAACUCAAAGGAAUUGACGGGGGCUCACACAAGGCGGUGGAGCAUGUGGUUUAAUUCGAAGCAACGCGAAGACCUUACCCGGUCUUGACAUGCAUGGAUUAACUCUGUGAAAGCAGAGC